rnacentral:misc_RNA from 1 species
CUCUUAUAGAUCAACUCCCGCACACUUUUGAGAUUAGGAUAUCCGUAAGUCACAUAUGGCUCAACCCUAUGCAGCAUGUUCAUGGUUGCCUUGUUCACUUUGAGAAACACACCAUUAAAAAUCUGCCUCAGACGCAGAAGCUGCAAAAUUUUUCUCGUCUUUGGAUCCAUUGCAUUGAUGCCACGGAUACGAAUGAUGAAAAGUAGUUUUGCCUCUGGUUCAACAUAAAAACCUCCUUUCAGUUUGGCCUCUCUUUUCAAUCUUAUCAACU